rnacentral:rRNA from 1 species
GGUUCGAUUAUGGCUCAGGAAUUGAACGCUGGCGGGAUGCUUUACAUGCAGAAGUCGAACGGCAGCACGGACUUCGGUCACGGUGGCGAGUGGCGAACAGGUGAGUAAUGUAUCGGAACGUGCCUGGCGAAGUUAACUACGCAGCGUAGCUAAUACCGCGCCACGCCCUUCGGGGGAAAGCGGGGACCUUGGGCCUCGCACUAAUGAAGCCGAUAUCGGAUUAGCUAGUUGGUGGGGUAACGGCUCACCAGGGCGACGAUCCGUAGCUGGUUUGAGAGGACGACCGACACACUGGGACUGAGACACGGCCCAGACUCCUGCAGGAGGCAGCAGUGGGGAAUUUUUGGACAAUGGGGGAAACCCACGAUCCAGCCAUCCGGUAUUGCGAUGAAGGCCCUUCGGGUUGUAAAGCACUUUGGCAGGAAAGAAACAGCACGGGAUAAUACCCAUGCAACUGACGUGAGACACCUGCAGAAUAAGCACCGGCUAACUACGGCUACCAGCAGCCGCGGUAAUACGUAGGAGUGCAAGCGUUAAUCGGAAUUACUGGGCGUAAAGCGUGCGCGAGCGGUUGGAAGAAGAUGCCGAAAUCCCAGAGCUUAACUUUUGGAACAUUUAACUACGACUAGUGUGUCAGAGGGAGGUGGAAUUCCGCGAUGUAGCAGUGAAAUGUGGAAAUAUGCGGAGGAACACCGAUGGCGAAGGCAGCCUCCUGGGAUAACACUGACGCUCAUGCACGAAAAGCGUGGGGAGCAAACGAGUUAGAUACCUGGUAGUCCACGCCCUAAACGAUGUCAACUAGCUGUUGGGGCCUUCGGGCCUUGGUAGCGCAGCUAACGCUGUGAAGUUGACCGCCUGGGGAGUACGGUCGCAAGAUUAAAACUCAAAGGAAUUGACGGGGACCCGCACAGCGAUCGAGAUGAUGUCAGUUAAAUUCGAUGCAACGCGAAAAACCUUACCUACCCUUGACAUGUCUGGAAUCCCGAGAUUUAGUGCUCGCAAGAGAACCGGAACACGGGUGCUGCAUGGCUGUCGUCAGCUCGUGUCGUGAGAUGUUGGGUUAAGUCCGCAACGAGCGCAGCCUUGUCAUUAGUUGCUGAAGGGCACUCUAAUGGGAUUGCCGGUGACAAACCGGAGGAAGGUGGGGAUGACGUCAAGUCUCGCUGGCUAUAUGGGUAGAACUACACACGUCAUACAAUGGUCGGGACAGAGGUCGCCAACCCGCGAGGGGGAGCCAAUCCCGAGCCCCGAUCGUAGUGGAUCGCAGUCUGUAACUCGACUGCGUGAAGUCGGAAUCGCUAGUAAUCGCGGAUCAGCAUGUCGCGGUGAAUACGUUCCCGGGUCUUGUACACACCGCCCGUCACACCAUGGGAGUGGGUUUUACCAGAAGUAGUUAGCCUAACCGUAAAGGGAGGGCGAUUACCACAGUAGGAUUCAUGACUGGGGUGAAGUCGUAACAAGGUAG